GUUUGAGUUUGUUCCCUACAUGUACUAAAUUUUAAAUUUCUCUUAAUAAAAAAAUUUAUUAAUUGACAUUGAUUAAUAUUACUCUGUUCAACUGCAAGAGUGCUCACGUACAAAAGUAUUCUAAACUAAGAAAAUGGAGAUAAAAGAAGAGUUAGAUACAAAAGAUUUCGAUUUUACUUUUGAACCGAGUAAAGAAAAUUUUGCUGUUGUAUUAAAGAAUUGCAAGACAGAAUUAAAAACGGAAGAUAAGAAGUUUUCUGUAAGAAUCAAGUCAGAACCUUUAGAAUAUGGAAACGAUAAUAAUACAGAGAUAAAUACUUGUGAAAAUUCAAGAAAUAACCCAAACUCUUUUAAUCGUUGGAGUAAUUCCGGUUAUAACAGUGANAU